rnacentral:lncRNA from 1 species
CAUUCGUAGCAUGGUUAUGGCAAUGAUUCAAGAAAGUUUGUUUGUGUUUUACUGCUGCAGAGUGCUCAAUGGUGCGGUGAUAAUUACUUCAUUUGACCUGCCAGCUUGUUAGAGCGCGAAUGAGUGGCAACAAACGUUUAUGGGAGCAAGGGAAGCUGCAGCUGCUAUCCUGGAAGAAAACGACGAUGCCUAGAAGCAAAAAAUCAUUUCUAAUAAGUUAAAUAAAGACUGUGUGAUUAUCUA